GCGAUUGCAGAAAGAGGAGGAUUUAGUUCUGGCAAAACUAGUCCAGUGGCAAAGUGCAGAACUGAUGUGGCUGUCAUGGUAAAGGAAUUCCGGAAUAAAGAACCAUUGUCUGAAGCUAAUCUUUACAUGCAGGAGUAGAUGGUAUCAAUGGGAAAAAAUGGGAACUCAUUAAAGAGAAAACAUUAAUCAAGUAGAAGGAAGUUCUUUCAGAGACAGGUCAAAUCAGCUGUUUUGAUGAAAUACACUGUAUGUCAAUGUAAAGGAACUAUUUGAGAGACUAUGGACGACAACUGCUGUUCAGUUUAACAUUUGUAUGACAAGUGGGUGAAUGUCCUUCUCUUACAAGUCAAUGCAGAGGAAGUGGAAAAGAGGUUUAGAAUUUAUGGAAGACUAGCUACAAACUGACAAAGCUAUUUUGUCCACUAGACUUGCAUAGCCUUUUGAAAGUGCCCACAACUAUGAAAACAAAAGCUGAAAAUUUUAAAAUCAACAUGUCACUUAUAAAAGCUCUGUGUGCGCCUGGGAUUUAGCCAAGACUCUGGAAUACGAUGAGUCAAAAGGUUCUGCUGGAGGAUCACAUUGUGAAAACUACAGCCAUGAAAGUCCCUCCAUUUAUUGCACCCUUCAAAAACGAAAUAUUAGCAUGGGAGGCUAAGCUGCGCGACUAAUGCAGGAGAUUAUGGAAACCUGGCUGCAAGUUCAAAAGGCCCUGGUGAUGCCGGGAACCCAUGCUUUGCUCACAAGAUACAUGUAACCAAAUAUCAGUAGAAGGAAAGCACUUUGAAGUUGUCAGUAGGAACUGGAGGCUAAUAAUGAAGGAGUCAGUGAAGGAGGCCAAUGGCAUGAGGGUUAUCUCACAGCCCCAGAUGCUGGAUAAGUUGAAGGAGGCAGAAUCGCUUUUGGAUGACAUUCAGAAAGGCCUGAAUGAUUAUUUGGAGAAGAAAAGACUAUUCUUUCUAAGGUUUUUUUCUUUCUGUGCAACGAUGAGCUCUUAGAAAUCCUUUCUGAGACAAAGGAUCCACUCCGAGACCAACCACACCUGAAGAAAUGCUUUGAAGGAAUUGCCAAGCUCACUUUUAAUCAUGAGAAAGAAAUUACUCACAUGGAGUCAGCAGAAAAUGAAAAAGUAGAGCUCGUGCUGCGAAUAAUUCCAGCAAGUGCCAAGGGGCUAGUUGAGAAAUGGCUUCAUGAGGUGAAUAUCUUUAGCUCUUACUUAGGGUUUAGUUACUGUAUAAUCAUUUUCUCUUUUAGGAGCAAGGAAUAUCAUAAGCAUAUUUCCUAAGUAAAUAGCUCUCUGAGAAUUUAUCAGAUUAUUUGACAGAUUGAAUAUCAGCCUCAUUGUUGUUAUUUAUUACAACUAAUUGACACGUGCAAACAUGCACAAAUUAAUUUUAAUAAAGAGGUUAUCAGUGUGUGAGACACUUAAUAAAAGUGUGUGUGUCUGAAACCA